AAUUAUCAAAGCAAGUCUUUUGUUAGCUCGAUCGGCUUUGCUUUGGACUUGGAGGUCUGCAGAUUCACGUCUGCUCCUCUCAAAUGCAUUAGCUGGAUCUCAGCGAGCUCGGUUCCACUCGGCGUGAUAAGUAUCACUCGCUGAGGACACCUGUAAAAAAGGUGGCCGGGAUCGCGGAUGAACCGCUUCCAACGGUCUAUUGAAUUAGACAACAUACUUUAUG
rnacentral:misc_RNA from 1 species